CGUGUGGUGUGUGUGUGUGUGAGUGUGUGUGAGUGUGUGUACUAGUUGUACUGUAUGGGCAGGAGGGGAGGGGGGAGGAGGCGGCGGGAGCCGGCUGCGGGAGGAGGGGCGCGCGCCUGCCGGGGGGCCGCUUCGCCGCCGUCUCCGCGCCCUCCCUCCGCAGCUUGACCCGGUAGUGAAGGCGGAGAGAGAGGCAGGCCGGGGCCGCCUGGCAGCCCGCGAGGGGAGGCGGGAGCGGGGAAGGAGGGGAGCCGAGGCCCGGCGCGGGGAGGCCGGCAAGCAGGCAGGCCGGGCGCCCAGGGCGGACCUGGCUUCGGCCUCCCAGCGGCGAGCGGAGCUGGGCUGCGGCGCGGAGAGGGCGCGCCAGAUCCCGCGGGCGCGGGCCGCGCGGGAGCCGCACGGCGAGCCCGGAUGGGAGCGCGUCCCGGGCCCGCGCGCCGCCCGCCCCUGCGCGGGGUCCCGCCCGGGGAGAGCCGCCGGCGGGGCCGGGGCGCGGGGAGCCGGGGAGGCCGGCGGAGGGGCUCGCAGUGCAGAGGUUUCGACUCUUCCGGUUUCCAGCCGGACUCGAGGCACAGUUCUCAGAAUUCCCCCUCGAGGGGCAGAAAGUUCGAGAGCUGCAGGCUGGGCGCCAGAGCGGGGGACGGCAAAGCUGCACCCCUUUCCCGGGACGGGCCUGAGCGCAGGGCGGAAUGGCUGGUGAAAGGCGAUUCCCGGGAGCGAGGGGAAGGGGCUUCAGGUUUCCUUGUUGGAGGAGCGGAAAGGGGCCGCGGGUUGGGGGGCUGGGGAGAGGGGUGCGGUGAGCAGCCUCCUAGGAGAAAUGGACAGUUUAACCCACGCCCUGGAAAGCCCUCCGACUCGGACCUGUAACUUGGGAAGAAACCUUAAGAGGGCCUGGCCCGACCACCUCCUGCUGCAGAGAAGGAGAAGGUUUCGAGGGUGGACACUGCGGCCCAUCGCGGCCGGACCUCAGCUCGCGGGCCGCCACCAGGCUCCUUAACCUCCAGCAGGUCCUCGGCCAGGAGGAGAGCCAUCCCCUGCCACUCUCUGUGGAAGAUUGCCCAAAAGCUCCUGGAUUCGCUUUGCCUUCAGGCACAGACAGCCAGAGAGAACCAUCUGGGAGUUAACUUCCCUCCCAAUGCACCUUUCCCAAGGACUGCCCUCCAGAGCAUAAAAGCCCAGCCCUAUUGCCUCGAAUAACCAAGAAACGGAGGUUCAGGUGUUUUAAACUGCCCAAAGUUACUCUCCCAAUAAAAGGAAGGAGUUUUGAUCUGAUCGAGUAUUGGUCGUAGUAUUGAGAGGUGAUAUCUUGUCCAACGUCUGUGCAACUCAGGAACUUACUCAAACAGCAGUCAGUCAGUCACCUAGCCCUGUGCAAACAAUCUGAGGAAAGCCUCUAGCACAAUGGAAAAGGGAGAUGCCAUCUUGCCUCUAUGAUUCAGCAAGAAUGAAGAUAAAACUUCACUGUGAUCAUGAUGGAGCCAAAUGAAAGAAAGGACCUAGACUCCCUUCCUUCACACUUCUUGUUAUGUGAGGAAAAUCAAAUGCUGUUGUAAGUUUAAGCUACAGAGAUGGGCUUCUACUUCAUGUAACUAAAUAUGUCACAGUUCGCACAAUAUGAAUAAAAUUGGUAAAAGUAUUCAUUUUCAAGGCUUAAUCUGAGAGACGCAUGAUACCUAACAUAUCAAAUCUCCAAAAAAUUAUAGUUCUUUAAUUCAUUGUGAUUUUGAAUUGAUUUUUCACAGUCUUUUAGUUACCAAACUAUUAAAUACAUUUUAACAUUCAAAUCUG